UCUGACGUUGCCUUCGUUGUUAGGUUUGAGUUCAUUAACAAGGCUGAAUCUAAGGGACUGUAAUCUUUGUGAAGGAGAUAUUUCUGGUGAUAUUUCUCGCCUAUCCUCUUUGAAACAACUUGAUCUUGGUGGUAACAACUUCAUCAGCAUACCUUCGUGUGUUACUCAAUUUUCCAAGCUUGAAUUUCUUAGAUUGUCAGAUUGUAGGGCGCUUAAAUCGUUGCCUGAGCUUCCAACAAGAAUACGUGGUUUAAGAAUAAAUGGUUGUACUUCUCUCGAAAUAGUGGCAAAUCCUGCAAAUCAUCAAAAGUUUGCAAUUUGAAGGAUUGGGAAACUAUAUUAGGUGUUAAUUGCUUCAGAUUGGCUGAGAACAUCGAUACCUUAACAUUGCUGAAAAAAUAUCUAAAGGUUCGUUAAUAUCUCUAUUUCUGUGUGUCUUGUAGUUAUUCAUGUUGUCUCUUACCAAACAACCAGAGGUUUAUUUUGCAGGUAUUUGGAAAUUCAAGAAAAAAGUUUGUUAUUAUUAUACCUGGAAGUGAACUGCCAGAAUGAUUUAGUCAACAAAGAGGUGGCUCUUCGAUUAAGAUAGAUUUGCCUCUGGAAGUUUGGAAUGAUAGUCAAUGGAUGGGAGUUGCUUUGUGCUGCAUUUUUGUGAGUGAUAAUGCUUCAAGGGAUGAGAAUCUCAUGUGUAGAACUGUUAUCCACGGUAGAUAUUCUAGACAGGCCAAUUGCACUCGAUCUAAUUUCCAGGGUAGAAAUCCUCCAAUAGUCGAUUGGAGUGGCUGCUCUCUAAAUUAUGGUCUAGAACAGCCCGUAACGAAGGACCACAUGUUAAUUCGUUAUUUCUCGCGUGACAAGUUUUAUCCAAUUUCUUUGGAAGACAAAUGUGGUGAACGUGAAACCAAUAAUUUAUGGACAACAGAUUGCUUAGAUCAGGAAUGCCAUCAACUUGACUUGUCGUUCACAGAUCCCUUCCAUAACAGUGUU
rnacentral:lncRNA from 1 species